GCUGACCAUAACCAUACAAAUAUCCUACGUUCAUAAACAAAUCAUUUGAUCAACCUAGUAGAGGCGAUCGAACAGUCAUAAUACACCACAUAGUACCGCAAGGGAACCGUAUAAGCAAACAACAGCAAAGAUAAACUCUUGUACCUUUAGCAUCAUGGUUUAGCAAGACAAACAUAGGCAAGAAGAAUCGUAGUCUAAAACCCCGAAACCAGAUGAGCUACCUCAGAGCAGCCUAACGGGCAAACCCUUCUCUGUAGCAAAAGAGUGGGAAGACUUAAAGGUAGAGGCGAAACACCUACCGAAUCUGGAGAUAGCUGGCUACCCAAAAAUGAAUAUAAGUUCUACUUUAGACCAUAAAAUAAACCAAAAUUAUCUAAUGGUAUUCAAUAGGGGUACAGCCCUAUUGAAACAGGAUACAACCUGUAUUUGAGAGCACAACCCCUUAAUACAACCAGUAGGCCUUAAAGCAGCCAACUAACAAAAUAUCGUUAAAGAAUUAACCAAAAAAAUACAAAAACCACUUAUAAACUCCAAACAAACUAAGGGUAAUCCUAUUUUUAUAGGACAUAUCCUGCUAAAACUAAUAAUAAGAUAUUAUCUCUAUACGCGCCUUUCCACUAGAAACAGAAAAUCUACCUAGCUAUUAACAGACCAAACCAGGAUAGACACACCCAAUACACACCCCAAAUCUAACUGUAAACCCAACACAGGUGCGUUAAAAAGAAAGACAAAACACUAAAAAAGGAACUCGGCAACCAAAGACCCCAACUGUUUAACAAAAACAUAACCUUUAGCCACAACCAGUAUUAAAGGCAACGCCUGCCCAGUGAAUAUUAAACGGCCGCGGUACCCUAACCGUGCAAAGGUAGCAUAAUCACUUGUCUAUUAAUUGUAGACCUGUAUGAAAGGCAUCAUGAGGGCCUAACUGUCUCUUCUAGUGAGUCAAUUAAACUGAUCUCCCAGUCCAAAAGCUGGGAUAAUAACAUAAGACCAGAAGACCCUGUGAAGCUUUAACUAAACUAUUAUACCAAAUAAUAGCUCCUUUAGGUUGGGGCGACCUUGGAAACAAAAAGAACUUCCAAAUACCUUGUAUCCUAUACAAACCCCGGCUGACAAGCCUGUAACGACCCAGUAUAACUGAUAAUUGAACCAAGUUACUCCAGGGAUAACAGCGCUAUCUUCUUCAAGAGCCCAUAUCAAAAAGAAGGUUUACGACCUCGAUGUUGGAUCAGGACACCCAAAUGGUGUAGUCGCUAUUAAAGGUUCGUUUGUUCAACGAUUAACAGUCCUACGUGAUCUGAGUUCAGACCGGAGCAAUCCAGGUCAGUUUCUAUCUAUGUCCUAGCUAUGUUUAGUACGAAAGGAUCAACAUAGCAGGGCCCAUACUAUCAGCAAGCCCUUUAAAUAAACCAAAUUAACCACUACCAUACUUAGACCAAGAAAAGGUCAGUUUAGGAACACCACCUCGACAU
rnacentral:rRNA from 1 species